GGCGUCGUCAUGAUGAAGCUAUUACGGAUGUAAAUGAGCACAGCUCGUCGAUCCGAGAGCGCAUACAAACCGUGUGGAUCUUUCCGUUGCCUUCCUUCUGAACCUUUUGU
rnacentral:snoRNA from 1 species